AAGUGAGAAGCAAAAAUUGCAACCAGUUUCGACCUGGUCCUCAGAUAAUACAACUUAUCCUCACUUU
rnacentral:tRNA from 1 species